rnacentral:rRNA from 1 species
ACACGCAUGACACACUGCAUAUCAAUAAGCGGAGGAAAAGAAACUAACAAGGAUUCCCCUAGUAACGGCGAGUGAAGCGGGAAGAGCUCAAAUUUGAAAUCUUAAAGGGUUUCCCUUUACGAACUGUAGUUUAAAGAAGUGUUUUCUGAUGGAGUUUCGGUAAAAGUUCUUUGGAAUAGGACAUCAUAGAGGGUGAGAAUCCCGUAUUUGAUCGUUACUUUCCAGCUGUGUGAUACACUUUCAAAGAGUCGGAUUGUUUGGGAAUGCAGUCCAAAAUGGGUGGUAAAUUUCAUCUAAAGCUAAAUAUUGGCGAGAGACCGAUAGCGAACAAGUACCGUGAGGGAAAGAUGAAAAGAACUUUGAAAAGAGAGUUAAACAGUACGUGAAAUUGUCAAAAGGGAAGCGUUUGACACCAGUGUUGUUUAGUUGAAAAUCAAUUCAAUAAUUUUUGAUUUUAAGUAGUAUUGACUUCAUCAGCUUGCUGCUUUCUUUUCAGGAAUUAUUGAAUGCACUUUUCAGUUAACAAGUCAACAUCAAUUUCUUUUGUUGUAAAAGGGCUAUGAGGAAGGUGGCUUACGCUUCGGCGUCAAGUGUUUAUAGCCUUUUACCUCUGCAAUCGGAGAGAUUGAGGUACUAGCAGCGUAGACUCCUUCGGGGCUAGAUACAUUUGUGCUAAGCUAUAGCCUUGUAUAGACAACUUGUUGACUAUGCUCAGUCAUGUAGCUUACUCGCUUAGUGCUAUUUUACCUACGCUUAGGAUGUUGAUCUACAGAGCGAGAGU